GAUUGAACGCUGGCGGCAUGCCUUACACAUGCAAGUCGAACGGUAACAGGUCUUCGGAUGCUGACGAGUGGCGAACGGGUGAGUAAUACAUCGGAACGUGCCCAGACGUGGGGGAUAACGAGGCGAAAGCUUUGCUAAUACCGCAUACGAUCUAAGGAUGAAAGCAGGGGACCGCAAGGCCUUGCGCGUUUGGAGCGGCCGAUGGCAGAUUAGGUAGUUGGUGGGAUAAAAGCUUACCAAGCCGACGAUCUGUAGCUGGUCUGAGAGGACGACCAGCCACACUGGGACUGAGACACGGCCCAGACUCCUACGGGAGGCAGCAGUGGGGAAUUUUGGACAAUGGGCGAAAGCCUGAUCCAGCAAUGCCGCGUGCAGGAUGAAGGCCUUCGGGUUGUAAACUGCUUUUGUACGGAACGAAAAGGCUCUGGCUAAUACCUGGGGCACAUGACGGUACCGUAAGAAUAAGCACCGGCUAACUACGUG
rnacentral:rRNA from 1 species